CGGGAAAAGGGAGGCGUUUCUUUCUCUCUCACUGUUCCGAGGAGCCGGAAAAAAACCGCUAAAACACCUGGAGCCGGCCCUCGGACGGAUCGACGAACGCGAGCGAGGGAAGGGAGGCAACAAAAAAAAAAGGUGGAAAUUUGUUUUGGAGCCGGAGCCGGAGCCGGGGAGAGCGUAUCUCCUUGGGUUGAUCAGCUGGCGAGCAGCAGCAGGGACGCCAGCCCGGUCACCACCUUCCUCCUUGCCUGCGGCGGCUGCGGGCUCAGCUUGCUAGCCGCCUCGGGCCGCCACGGCGACGGCGGCACCACGACCGUGGCCUUCUUGUCAUCUCCGCCGUCGGGAAUGCCGUCGUCGCCGGGCGCCUUCGGCUUCUCGCCGAACCGCGGCUCGAACACGCCGGAGAAAGCGGGAACCGGCGUCGCGAGCGCCGGCGUCUCGUCCGGGCCGCCGCCGCCGCCGCUGCGGGCGUGCGGGGACAGCCACUUGGCGCGCAUGUACUCGUGCUUGCGCCACGGCGGGAGGUGGAGCCCGCGCUUGCGGAGGCUCUGCCGCGCCGCGUCCGCCACCACGGCCACCACCCGGCCCAGCCGCUCCGGGGUGCCCACGAACAGCGGCGGCAGCGCCUGCAGCGCCGCGCGGUACGCCUUGGUGGGCCGCGCCACCUCGAACUCCGCCCGGAAGUCCACCUCCACCACGAGGCGGACGCGGACGCCGUCCGUCGCCCCGGGCUCCGCCUCCGCCACCACCGCGUCGAUGUACUCGUGCUCGCCGGCCGGGUGCGAGGGGGCCUUGUCCCACCGCGACGUGCACACCGCCGCGUCGUACCCGAGCGCGCGGAGCCCGUCCGCCACGGCGCGCCGGGCGUCCGCCUUCUUCCGCCCGCAGCGCUCCGCGAUCCGCGACGCGUCCGCCAGGAGGUUCCGCUCCGCCGUGCUCGCGCACUGCACCAGGCCCUGCGUGCGAGAAGGAACGGGGACGGAAGGCGGAAAAGAAGGGGAGGAAGAAGAAAUAACUGGAAAUCAGUUCUUGACCACUGGACGGACGGUGAGCGACUUGGGAGGCGACAGCAGCUGAAUCGGGGACAAAAGACGGUACCUUCAGCAGCUCCAAGGCGUCGCCGCCCGCGGCCGGCGCCGCGGCGGGCGCGGAGGCGGAGGGCAGGAAGUCGAAGUCCUCGUCGUCGCUGCCGUCCUGAUGGUUGCCGUUAAAGCAGUUGCCGCACCGCCCGCGCGACGGCCGCUCCACGGCCGCGGAGGACUCCUCCAUGAAGCUGAGCACCAUCUUGUCCAGCCCCACCGACCCAGCCUCCGCCUCCCCUCCCCUCUCGUCCUUCUCUCUCUCCUUGCCGUCCCCAGCUGCCAGCCGCUCGGCCGGGGUCACCCGCACCAUCAGCCUCCGGAACAUCGACACCCUCGCCGUCGCCGGCGCAAACGGACUGCCGUCGAUCGUGCCCUGCUGGUUCUUCACCGGGAACCGAAACGUCAUCGAUGACCGCCACUUACAGCACCGCCGCCGCACCCUCCCUCCCCCUUCGUUCCCCUCUCCAACCAACCACAACCACCGUCCUCACUCGGCAACCAAAACAUGAAUGGCGCGUGCGGCGUGCCCUGCCUAUUACGACCAAACAAGCGCUACAGUAUACGCCGUCUUACUUGUGCCCCAAAGGAGGCUCGCCGGCGGUGUUCAUCUCCGGCGGUUCGUGUUCCCUUCUUGUCUUCGGAGACGAGAACGGAGACGGAGGAGUGGGACAGUGAGGUGCCCCGCAAGGUCUUAUAAAGAGUGAGUGGCCCUGGCCUGUAUGCUGUAUGGC
rnacentral:misc_RNA from 1 species